UGCCUUUUGUAUUCGUGUUGAGAUUUCGUCAACAACCAGUCCAUUACAGAUGAUGAAACUUCUCAGAUAAGUGAAGUG
rnacentral:pre_miRNA from 1 species